rnacentral:rRNA from 1 species
CCUACGGGGGGCAGCAGUCGAGAAUCAUUCACAAUGGGGGAAACCCUGAUGGUGCGACGCCGCGUGGGGGAAUGAAGGUCUUCGGAUUGUAAACCCCUGUCAUGUGGGAGCAAAUUAAAAAGAUAGUACCACAAGAGGAAGAGCCGGCUAACUCUGUGCCAGCAGCCGCGGUAAUACAGAGGUCUCAAGCGUGGUUCGGAAUCACUGGGCGUAACGCGUGCGUAGGCUGUUUCGUAAGUCGUGUGUGAAAGGCGCGGGCUCAACCCGCGGACGGCACAUGAUACUGCGAGACUAGAGUAAUGGAGGGGGAAACGGAAUUCUCGGUGUAGCAGUGAAAUGCGUAGAUAUCGAGAGGAACACUCGUGGCGAAGGCGGGUUCCUGGACAUUAACUGACGCUGAGGCACGAAGGCCAGGGGAGCGAAAGGGAUUAGAUACCCCUGUAGUC